ACCGGCAAACGGGUGCGGAACACGUACGCAACCUUCCUCUCAGCGGGGAAUAGCCCAGAGAAAUUUGGAUUAAUACCCCAUCGGAUCGUAGAGUGGCACCACUUAGCGAUUAAAGCUUCGGCACUGAAAGAUGGGCGUGCGUCUGAUUAGGUAGUUGGUGAGGUAACGGCUCACCAAGCCGACGAUCAGUAACUGGCGUGAGAGCGCGACCAGUCACACGGGCACUGAGACACGGGCCCGACUCCUACGGGAGGCAGCAGUAAGGAAUAUUGGUCAAUGGACGGAAGUCUGAACCAGCCAUGCCGCGUGGAGGAUGAAGGUCCUCUGGAUUGUAAACUUCUUUUAUCUGGGAAGAAAUGCCGAUUUUCUAAUUGGUUUGACGGUACCAGAUGAAUAAGCACCGGCUAACUCCGUGCCAGCAGCCGCGGUAAUACGGAGGGUGCAAGCGUUAUCCGGAUUCACUGGGUUUAAAGGGUGCGUAGGCGGAAUUGUAAGUCCGUGGUGAAAUCUCCAAGCUUAACUUGGAAACUGCCAUGGAUACUAUAGUUCUUGAAUGUUGUGGAGGUUUGCGGAAUAUGUCAUGUAGCGGUGAAAUGCUUAGAUAUGACAUAGAACACCGAUUGCGAAGGCAGCAGGCUACACAAAUAUUGACGCUGAGGCACGAAAGCGUGGGGAUCAAACAGGAUUAGAUACCCUGGUAGUCCACGCCCU
rnacentral:rRNA from 1 species